AUUCACAUGCAAAUCACCUGGAACGUGCCCGAUCUGAUCAGAUAUCAGAAGUUUAGCAGGUUUGAGCCUGGAUAUUGCUUGGAUGGGUGACUG
rnacentral:rRNA from 1 species